rnacentral:misc_RNA from 1 species
GAAAUGCGAUAAGUAAUGUGAAUUGCAGAAUUCAGUGAAUCAUCGAAUCUUUGAACGCACAUUGCGCCCGGCAGUAAUCUGCCGGGCAUGCCUGUCCGAGCGUCAUUUCAGCCCUCGAGCCUCUAUUUUAGUGGAUCGGUGUUGGGGCACUACGGUAGACGUAGGUCCCGAAAUGCAGUGGCGGUCCCGCCGCGGCGCCCCCAUGCGUAGUAACGCCUAGUCUCGCAUCGGGUCCCGGCGGAGGCCAGCCGUCAAGCCUAUUUUUCUUAACAUGGUUUGACCUCGGAUCAGGUAGGGUUACCCGCUGAACUUAAGCAU